UUUGAUAACCAUCGGUUGUGGGGCUGUGUUUCGGCCACAGUGUUGGGUUGUGUCGACUCUAUCAAAG
rnacentral:tRNA from 1 species